GAAUUUCUAUUCUCUUAUAUAUUGCCAAUUUAAAAAAAAAAAUUAUAUAUUGCCAAUUUAAAAAAAAAAAUUAAGAAAAUAUCUUCUAUAAGGUAAAUAAUGUAAUGAAACUUUAGUUAAGGUGAGGUCCCUAAAUGCACUUGAAAAUUAUAUUGGAUAAUCUUUGGCUUCCAUAAGGUCGUGGAACAAGCACCCCACAUACUUCACUUAGGAUGAUCUUCAAAGGAAACAAGGCGGUGGAGCUUUGGAUUGAAGUGAUCGUGUGGCUUGAACCUUGAGUAUAUGAAAUUCAACACCCAUAACCUCACUUAUGACACCUUUCUCCUUCCUCAGCAAUCGAC
rnacentral:lncRNA from 1 species